rnacentral:rRNA from 1 species
GUUUGGAGAGUUUGAUCCUGGCUCAGGACGAACGCUGGCGGCGUGCUUAACACAUGCAAGUCGAACGGAAAGGUCUCUUCGGAGACACUCGAGUGGCGAACGGGUGAGUAACACGUGGGCAAUCUGCCCUGCACACCGGGAUAAGCCUGGGAAACUGGGUCUAAUACCGGAUAGGACCACUUGGCGCAUGCCUUGUGGUGGAAAGCUUUUGCGGUGUGGGAUGGGCCCGCGGCCUAUCAGCUUGUUGGUGGGGUGACGGCCUACCAAGGCGACGACGGGUAGCCGGCCUGAGAGGGUGUCCGGCCACACUGGGACUGAGAUACGGCCCAGACUCCUACGGGAGGCAGCAGUGGGGAAUAUUGCACAAUGGGCGCAAGCCUGAUGCAGCGACGCCGCGUGGGGGAUGACGGCCUUCGGGUUGUAAACCUCUUUCACCAUCGACGAAGGUCCGGGUUCUCUCGGAUUGACGGUAGGUGGAGAAGAAGCACCGGCCAACUACGUGCCAGCAGCCGCGGUAAUACGUAGGGUGCGAGCGUUGUCCGGAAUUACUGGGCGUAAAGAGCUCGUAGGUGGUUUGUCGCGUUGUUCGUGAAAUCUCACGGCUUAACUGUGAGCGUGCGGGCGAUACGGGCAGACUAGAGUACUGCAGGGGAGACUGGAAUUCCUGGUGUAGCGGUGGAAUGCGCAGAUAUCAGGAGGAACACCGGUGGCGAAGGCGGGUCUCUGGGCAGUAACUGACGCUGAGGAGCGAAAGCGUGGGGAGCGAACAGGAUUAGAUACCCUGGUAGUCCACGCCGUAAACGGUGGGUACUAGGUGUGGGUUUCCUUCCUUGGGAUCCGUGCCGUAGCUAACGCAUUAAGUACCCCGCCUGGGGAGUACGGCCGCAAGGCUAAAACUCAAAGGAAUUGACGGGGGCCCGCACAAGCGGCGGAGCAUGUGGAUUAAUUCGAUGCAACGCGAAGAACCUUACCUGGGUUUGACAUGCACAGGACGCGUCUAGAGAUAGGCGUUCCCUUGUGGCCUGUGUGCAGGUGGUGCAUGGCUGUCGUCAGCUCGUGUCGUGAGAUGUUGGGUUAAGUCCCGCAACGAGCGCAACCCUUGUCUCAUGUUGCCAGCGGGUAAUGCCGGGGACUCGUGAGAGACUGCCGGGGUCAACUCGGAGGAAGGUGGGGAUGACGUCAAGUCAUCAUGCCCCUUAUGUCCAGGGCUUCACACAUGCUACAAUGGCCGGUACAAAGGGCUGCGAUGCCGCGAGGUUAAGCGAAUCCUUUUAAAGCCGGUCUCAGUUCGGAUCGGGGUCUGCAACUCGACCCCGUGAAGUCGGAGUCGCUAGUAAUCGCAGAUCAGCAACGCUGCGGUGAAUACGUUCCCGGGCCUUGUACACACCGCCCGUCACGUCAUGAAAGUCGGUAACACCCGAAGCCAGUGGCCUAACCCUCGGGAGGGAGCUGUCGAAGGUGGGAUCGGCGAUUGGGACGAAGUCGUAACAAGGUAGCCGUA